rnacentral:misc_RNA from 1 species
GUAGAAAUUUUCCCAGUUCCAAACAGAGGAAGCUUGUGAAGGAGUGCUAGAAUACGUCGAAUUUGCUUUCGCAUCGUAUGUAUAAUCCUCAUUAUAUGAAUUCAAACUUGACCCAGAAAGAAUGUGCGGAAGUUUCAGGGGCUUUUUCUGCUGCACCGGGGGCUGACGCUGAUGAGAGGAAACAGAGGAGGCAGAAAGUAUAUGAGGAAGCUUUGAAGAAGCUAUCGUCGGUGACGGCGACGGAAAAAACGGCGGUGGGGGUGGGGGUAGAUGAAGAGAAGGAGAAGGAGAUGGGAUAUGAAUAGGGGGUGGGGGUGGAGGGGUUUUGAUGUUAGUAGCAGCAGUAGUCGAAAAAGACGUACGGAGGAGAACAGCAGGAGUAUGAUCAGAAACAGAAAGUGGUUCACCGGCGGCAAAGGUAGAUAAAGCAGAACCCGUAACACGAAGUGAACGACAGUAAUCAGAAUGAGCUGCUGCUAAGUGAUGACGAGCAUAAACAGCUUCUUUCAUCAAUCGCCGGCGGUCUUUACACCGCCGGACAGUAUCUUCAUUAUCUAGCUUCGAC